AGCGAACGCUGGCGGCAGGCUUAACACAUGCAAGUCGAACGGGCGUAGCAAUACGUCAGUGGCAGACGGGUGAGUAACGCGUGGGAACGUACCUUUUGGUUCGGAACAACACAGGGAAACUUGUGCUAAUACCGGAUAAGCCCUUACGGGGAAAGAUUUAUCGCCGAAAGAUCGGCCCGCGUCUGAUUAGCUAGUUGGUGAGGUAACGGCUCACCAAGGCGACGAUCAGUAGCUGGUCUGAGAGGAUGAUCAGCCACAUUGGGACUGAGACACGGCCCAAACUCCUACGGGAGGCAGCAGUGGGGAAUAUUGGACAAUGGGCGCAAGCCUGAUCCAGCCAUGCCGCGUGAGUGAUGAAGGCCCUAGGGUUGUAAAGCUCUUUUGUGCGGGAAGAUAAUGACGGUACCGCAAGAAUAAGCCCCGGCUAACUUCGUAG
rnacentral:rRNA from 1 species